rnacentral:tRNA from 2 species
CCCUGGUUAGCUCAGUUGGUAGAGCGAUCCACUUGUAAUGGUGAGGUUCCGGGUUUGAUACCCGGACCAGGCA